rnacentral:rRNA from 1 species
AGUGAACGCUGGCGGCAGGCCUAAUACAUGCAAGUCGAACGGCAGCACAGCAGAGCUUGCUCUGUGGGUGGCGAGUGGCGGACGGGUGAGGAAUACAUGGGAAUCUGCCCAGUCGUGGGGGAUAACGUAUGGAAACGUACGCUAAUACCGCAUGCGCCCUACGGGGGAAAGCCGGGGACCGAAAGGCCUGGCGCGAUUGGAUGAGCCCAUGUUCGAUUAGCUAGUUGGCGGGGUAAAGGCCCACCAAGGCGACGAUCGAUAGCUGGUCUGAGAGGAUGAUCAGCCACACUGGAACUGAGACACGGUCCAGACUCCUACGGGAGGCAGCAGUAGGGAAUAUUGGACAAUGGGGGCGAACCCUGAUCCAGCCAUGCCGCGUGAGUGAAGAAGGCCCUCGGGUUGUAAAGCUCUUUUGUCCGGAAAGAAAGCAUUCGGUUAAUACCCGGUGUUCUGACGGUACCGGAAGAAUAAGCACCGGCUAACUUCGUGCCAGCAGCCG